rnacentral:tRNA from 1 species
CCUUCGAUAGCUCAGUUGGUAGAGCGGAGGACUGUAGAGGCGCAAUGCUGAAAUCCUUAGGUCGCUGGUUCGAAUCCGGCUCGAAGGA